AGCUUUGCACGGUGACGGUAUUGUAGCCAAUGAGAUUUAUCUGAGGCGUGAUUAUUGCUAAUUGAAAAUUUUCCCCAAUACCCUGCUGGGACAAUUUGCAAUAUGGUCAGCAUUGGCAAUUUUGGACAGUCUCUACAGAGA
rnacentral:snRNA from 1 species